rnacentral:misc_RNA from 1 species
CAAAGCGUUUUUUUUGUUUUUAGCAGUCUCAGCUCUUAGCAGGGGACUGCCGCCACCACCUUGAGACGGUACUGCUUCGAGUUCAUCACGGCGUGCCGGUCACGUUUCUCUUCUCGAAGCGCUACUCGAAUGACGCGUAGCUGAAGAAGGCACACACUCACGUCUGCGCCCACGUACACACACGCUGGCAGAGUCGCGCCGCCUGGUGGCCAUCUACAUUGCGAAUCACAUAGAGAGGCAACACACACACACACACACAUGCAGUGGAACUCAGGUACCCUACUUCUCCCCUACUGCCUGCGCUGAGUCCGCACAACGUGUGCCAGCAGAGUUGUCCAGUGCCCCUUUUUCGUGCGCAGGCUCUGAAAAUAACGGAGGGGGGGGUCAGCUUUGCUUGGGCUUCUCGCUGCACACACGUUCACAUUCAUAAACCCGUACAAAGGAUGCGGUGGUUCGUGGCAUCGCGCACCGCACCACGAGCUGUGGUGCCGCAUCGCUUCAUGAGCACCUCUAGGAUGCUGCGGGAUGGGCAUGCAUCGACUGCUGCUGCUGUGGCGGCGGCCACAGCCGCAACUGCUUCGGCCUCCGCCGCUUCUUCGUCUCUCCUCACCGCGGACGAGCUGCAGCGGAUCGCUCAGCUUAUCGAGAACGACCCACGCAUUCUUAUGGAGGUGGUCGCGAGUCUCGACCCGCAGAGCCGUCGCCGGCUCGUCGUGACCGGCGGCGCGAUGGAGUGGUUUGGCACUGAAAGCGCUGCGCAGGAGGUGGAGAAGGCGGACGCGGACAAAGACCGUCAGAUCUCGCCAAAAGACUUCGACCACUGGUUUGAGAGCGCCCUCAAGCGGCGUCAGGAAGAGCAAAAGAAGCGCGCAACCGAGGGAAAGCAGGUCACCAACAUGGAGAGUGGCACCUCUGCGGCCGCCAACACGGCGUCGCCCGCCGCCGCUGUUUCGAAAACGGUGCCGCUAGCGGCUCUCUUCAUGAUCGCACUGGAAGCCGGGCUCCCCUUCGUUGGGUUUGGCUUCCUGGACAACUCCACAAUGAUCUUAGCCGGCGACAUGAUUGACGGAUCACUUGGCUUCUAUCUCAACUGCUCUGUGCUCGCCUCGGCAGCCAUGGGAAACAUCUGCUCGGGGAUGCUGGGGAUGCAGAUUCACGGGCUGAUUGACAAGGCGGUGCAGAAGCUGAACUUUAACACACCAGUGCUUACAGAGGAGCAGAUGAAAGACCGCCGCGUGUUCUUGGCUGGCCACCUCGGCGGCACCUUUGGCAUCAUGCUGGGCCUCAUCCUCGGGAUGGUGCCGCUGCUCUUUCUGGACGGUGACACCAACGAGAAGUCCGACUACGUCAUGUUUCAACGUUGGGACAUCAACAACAGCGGCUUUGUGGAGCUUCCGGAGUUUGAAAAGGUGCUGCGCGAGCUCGGCCUGCAGCAGACGGACGUCAGAGCAAAGAAUUUGAUCGAGAAGUACGGUGAGAACAACCGAGUCGACUUUGAACAGUUUUCACAGAUCAAGGCAGAUCUACGCGAUGGAAAGCCAAUCUUCGACUAGCAACAAUCAUGUCCCCGGCAACACGCAACGCGACGGAGCAUGGUGGCGGCUUGCUGAGAGUUGCGCGUGCUCGCCUCUUAACUUGUACCGCAGCUCUGCAUCUGCGGCUGCCUUUUCUGAUUCGGUGCUGUAUUAUCGAUGUGGUGCACU